AAAAAACCCGUAUCACCACCCAUGAAAAGAACAUACAACGCCGCUACCCUCGAUCCCUUCGACCGCGCUCCCCUCGAUCGCCUCCGACGUACAAUCUCGCCACCACCGCCAAGCCGAGGUACGGGAUCGCGUCCAUCAUGUUCCUUCCCUGGGCGCCCCUCCCUGGAUCCACCCCUCGUGAUGCGGCCGCUCUAUCUCUCCCUCUUACCGCGAUGCGGCACUGCUCCCAUCUACCACUCCACUGCCGCUGCCUCCCUCCCCUGGCUUCCCCUAUCUCCCGCUUAGCCACCUCCACCCCCACCCUUCCUCUCCAUUGCCGGAUCCGGUUACAGAUUGUCAAGGUUAGGCGACGGAGCUCCAUGUCCAUGGCGCAUGCGUUCUCAUCAAGGAAGCGGCUCCCGGAUCUUGAUCGCACAGCCGUGACGGAGGGGAUUGAGGUGGCCGCCGCCGCUGAAGACCAAGCCCCCACCUUGUCCAGAAUCACUUCCAUUGUCAUGUUCCACCAAGGAAGGAGGAGGCGGCUCAAAGUCUCCCUCACUGCCGGCUCCAGAUGCAGCUGUCGCCAUGGGUGAGCGCCUCAUACACGACUAGUUUUGAUGGAUUCGUGGCCAGACGCACGUGUAGUGACAAAGGAGUCGGACAUGACGAGGCUCAGGUGGCGUCUCGAUCCCAAAGCCAAGAGAAAUUUGGAUCUUUUUAGACAGUAAUUGCAACCAUCCGUCUGAAUGAGUAUAAAAACAAUGCUAUGAGGACAAAGAGGAGAUAAAAGGAGUAUUGGAAACUUAAAACCAGCCCCCCAAAACCACUCUGCCUGGAGAAAGAAGACAAUAUUUGGCAUGAUCUGUUUCAUCUACAAUAGAAAUAUGCUUGGUAAAGGCCUCAUAUCACUUGGCAUCAAAGCGCUCAGGCUGCUUGAAAAGCAACAUGAUUCAUCCUCAAGGUACAUAAGAUCCAAAAUACUAAUUGAUUUUUUUCGGUAUAAUCAUGAUUCAGAAGAAAGGAGCACUAGCUCUUUCAUUAUCUAUAGAAAACAGUACAAAUUGUUCCUUUGUCCUGCUUAUUUCUACUGUGUUAAAUAAUCAUAGGCAAUAUUAUGCUGCUAAAUGUAGGGUUUCAUGAUAACUUUUGACCUGUGUUGUAGGUAGAUUACACCUAUUUUUGUAUUGCUUUGUUUUUAAGUAAAAUUGAGCUGGGCGUGUGCUCUGUUCAAACAAUAAACAAAAUAGAGUAUCCUCAUGUUGUAAAUAUACCUCAGUUUUUUUCAAUGGACAAAACACAUCUCAGGUUAGUGACAUGCUCUGUACACUACAUCUCUAUUGAACUAUGUGCAGUUUUCAGCUUGAUGUCUUUGAUUUAACGUCAUUAUUCUAGGACUGGAAAAUUUAGCAUUAGACAUAUUGAUUCAGUAAUGCAAUUAAUGCAUCGUAAAAACUAGGAAUAAUUUGGCUGUGUCGUCCUCGAUAUGUUAUGACACAAACAUGUUGAUCAUUUUCACGAUUGCAGACACAUUAUAAGCUUCAUCAUCUCACUGGUCUCUAGAUCAAGGCCUCCUGAAGCUCUCGUGCAUAGCGGAUGGCUAAAGCGUGCUGAUACUGUCAAGAGAGGUUGGGGUAGACCGAACUUGACAUGGGAGGAGUGCGUAAAGAGUGAUAUGAAGAACUGGUUUUCCCAAUUUUCCUUCCACCAUUUUGUAACCCUUUGCAGAACCGUCUGGGGAGGUUUCUUAACAUUGUCUACUCAUCUAUUGGGAAAUAGGUAUCUGUUAUCUAUCAUGUGGUUAUGGAACUGAUACAGAUGUACCCUUCUUUGCCUGGGAGUUAUGUGUGGUUCAGUUUGCAGAAUCUUGUUUAGUUUUACAUUUAUCUUGCAUGCUCAAUUUUUAAGCAUAUAACCAGUUUGUAGGUCCUAAUAUUUGAUAUGUGGACGUGACCAAUCGGGGCAUGGAGAUUAUGGCGAGGCAUGGUGCUAUGGUGGCGGCGGUGAAGGUAUCCUCAUUGAAGGCGGUGUCGACGGAUGGCUGUCGAUGAAAGCGGCAUGGGGAUGGGGGAGGUGGAGUGUCGAGGGAUGGAGGCAGAGAACGGCAGCCAGGGAGGCUGGGUGGUAGUGAGAUUGGACUAGCUAGGAGUGUGGGCAAGAUUUCCUUUCCAGGAUGGCCGAGGGUUUCUUGGUGUGCAUGUGUGUGUGUGUGCAUGUGUGUGUUCACACAGAUACUCCACCAAAUACCGUGCAUGGUUAUCUGAAAUUAUAAACAAUAGUUAACAUCCAAGUGGUACAGGUAAGAACCUUCUUUUUAAUUUAUCAGGUGGCGUCAAUAGACCAUAAACUUUUCAUUUAUAGUGCUAAAGAUAUGUCAAUACAUGUUCUUACAUUUAGGCUCCUAAACUUGUUGAAUGAGUUCUAUAUACAAGAUUCAAGUCGUCCUUCUAUAAAUUAAGACUGCCGUUGCUAAUCUUUGUUGCAUUGCUAUUGAUGAGUCUAUAAUUGUCAACCUCGACAGUAACAACACUAUCGUUUUAUCUCUCAAUGUGAGCAAGUAAGAUUUAUUUCAGAUCUUUAUUUUAUUGGAUUAUUUUUAUAUUAGAGAAGUUGAUGCUCGAUCUUGUUAUUCAUUUCCCGGGAUCAUUUCUUAGUCUACUGCAUCAUUAACAAGAGCUUGAGGAUUGCUUCGAGGAUUCUGCGGAUUUCUCCCAUAACCUCUUGUAGUGACACAAUGCUAUGAUCUUCAACCAUAAAAAUGAAACCGUCAGCGUUGAUGGCCUGCUCAUAUGAUCUCACAGGUACCAAAAUGCAGCUUAAAUCUCUUUUUAAGAAUUGGUUCAUGAUGUUCUUACAUUUAGCUACUCAUGUAUAGAUUUUAGGUUUACUUUUUUUCUCCUUGUAAAAUUCUUUUUGUUUGCUCACCUUGUAAUCAACUCUGAUUUUAUGAUUUAGAAAUCAGUCCAGGUGCCUAUAAAUGAAUUUAGUUUAACUCUAUAAUUAACCCUUAAGAAUAAUAUAUAAUUGCUCUAGUUGCACUCAUCCCUUAUUCAGAGCUUCACCAAUGGUGAUAGCGUUGUGUCAAGGAGAAGGUGGAGAGGGAGAAAGAGAAAGGGAGAAUGGAAGCCAAGUGAUAGACAAAGGGAGUGAAAGAUAGAAGACAAGCAAUAACUUGUGUUCUCUUACUAACGCUUUAUUUAUUGAGGACCUGUACCAAUGCACAGUUAUUUGUCGUUGUAUGAUGGAAACAUUUGGCGACUCAAACAGACAAAAAAUAAACAAAUUUUAUGUCCUUUUGGGUCACUGUGUUGUAGUUUAGCGUGGUAUGUGUGACACUCGGCUAAUGGAGCUGCUCAUCGGCCAUCGUACAGUGGUUGUGCAAAUAAGUUAUGUAAAACAUGGGUCAGGUACCCGGCGUUUUGUAUUCAUGAUUUUUUCUGGAC